GCAGCUGCUCAGCAAGAUGCCCAGCUAGAAAUGACAGCUCCAAGUGGCGCUUCUGGAGUGUCUCCACUGCAACAGGGACCUAUGGAUUUCACUGAACUCCAGGAGACUCCGCAAGGCCCAUCACAACAGGAACUUCUGACUUUGCCAUCAACCCCAGCCUCUGUUGGGACACCAAGAAGGAGGAGACGAGCAAUGGUAACCUGCUCUGCCAAGCGUGCCUAUUUUUCAACCACAAUUCAACACCGUGAACGUUAUUGUCUUGUGGAUAUGCUCAUGUGCAUAUUUGAUAGUGUGAAAGACCCAUCCACAGCAUGCACUAUUACAUUAACUUUUAACACAACAUGUGCAGGCAAACAC